rnacentral:rRNA from 1 species
UACCAGCACCCCGAGUGGUCGGGACGAUUAUUGGGCCUAAAGCAUCCGUAGCCGGUCCUACAAGUCUUCCGUUAAAUCCACCUGCUUAACAGAUGGGCUGCGGAAGAUACUAUAGGGCUAGGAGGCGGGAGAGGCAAGCGGUACUCGAGUGGGUAGGGGUAAAAUCCUCUGAUCCAUUGAAGACCACCAGUGGCGAAGGCGGCUUGCCAGAACGCGCUCGACGGUGAGGGAUGAAAGCUGGGGGAGCAAACCGG